rnacentral:rRNA from 1 species
AUUGAACGCUGGCGGCAGGCCUAACACAUGCAAGUCGAGCGCGAAAAGCCUUCGGGCUGAGUAAAGCGGCGGACGGGUGAGUAACGCGUAGGAAUCUACCUGGUAGUGGGGGACAACUUGGGGAAACUCAAGCUAAUACCGCAUACGCCCUAAGGGGGAAAGCGGGGGACCUUCGGGCCUCGCGCUAUCGGAUGAGCCUGCGUAGGAUUAGCUAGUUGGUGGGGUAAAGGCCCACCAAGGCGACGAUCCUUAGCUGGUCUGAGAGGAUGAUCAGCCACACUGGAACUGAGACACGGUCCAGACUCCUACGGGAGGCAGCAGUGGGGAAUAUUGCGCAAUGGGCGAAAGCCUGACGCAGCCAUGCCGCGUGUGUGAAGAAGGCCUUAGGGUUGUAAAGCACUUUCAAUUGGGAAGAAAAGUUUGUCGUUAAUAGCGCCCAAGCUCUGACAUUACCUUUAGAAGAAGCACCAGGCUAAACUCCGUGCCAGCAGGCCGCGGUAAUACGGAGGGUGCGAGCGUUAAUCGGAAUUACUGGGCGUAAAGCGCGCGUAGGCGGUUUGUUAAGUCAGCUGUGAAAGCCCCGGGCUCAACCUGGGAACUGCAGUUGAUACUGGCCGACUAGAGUACGAGAGAGGGAGGUAGAAUUCCAUGUGUAGCGGUGAAAUGGCGUAGACAUAUGGAGGAAUACCAGUGGCGAAGGUCGGCCUCCUGGCUCGAUACUGACGCUGACGUGCGAAGAGCGUGGGGAGUCAAUACAGGAUUAGAUACCCUGGUAGUCCUACGCUCGUAAACGAUGUCUACUAGCCGUUGGGAAAGCUUGAUUUCAUUAGUGGCGCAGCUAACGCAAUAAGUAAACCGCCUGGGGAAGUACGGCUCACCAGGCCGUUGGAAGACUUGAUUUAAUUAGUGGCGCAGCUAACGCAAAUAAGUAGACCGCCUGGGGAGUACGGCCGCAAGGUUAAAACUCAAAUGAAUUGACGGGGGCCCGACACAAGCAAGGUGGAGCAUGUGGUUUAAUUCGAUGCAACGCGAAGAACCUUACCAGGUCUUGACAUCCUGCGAAUUUUCUAGAGAUAGAUUAGUGCCUUCGGGAACGCAGUGACAGGUGCUGCAUGGCUGUCGUCAGCUGGUGUCGUGAGAUGUUGGGUUAAGUCCCGUAACGAGCGCAACCCUUGUCCUUAGUUGCCAGCACAUAAUGGUGGGAACUCUAAGGAGACUGCCGGUGACAAACCGGAGGAAGGUGGGGACGACGUCAAGUCAUCAUGGCCCUUACGACCUGGGCUACACACGUGCUACAAUGGAACGCACAGAGGGCUGCAAAGGCGCGAGCUGGAGCGAAUCCCACAAAACGUUUCGUAGUCCGGAUUGGAGUCUGCAACUCGACUCCAUGAAGUCGGAAUCGCUAGUAAUCGUGAAUCAGAAUGUCACGGUGAAUACGUUCCCGGGCCUUGUACACACCGCCCGUCACACCAUGGGAGUGGGUUGCAAAAGAAGUGGGUAGACUAACCUUCGGGAGGUCGCUCACCACUUUGUGAUUCAUGACUGGGGUG